UCUGGUUGAUCCUGCCAGAGGUUACUGCUAUCGAGGUUCGACUAAGCCAUGCGAGUCGAAUGUAGCAAUACAUGGCGAACUGCUCAGUAACACGUGGACAACCUGCCCUUAGGUUGGGUAUAAACCCGGGAAACUGGGUAUAAUACCCGAUAGGUCUCGAUUGCUGGAAUGCAUCGAGAUUUAAAGCUCCGGCGCCUAAGGAUGGGUCUGCGGCCUAUCAGGUAGUAGUGGGUGUAGCGUACCUACUAGCCUACGACGGGUACGGGUUGUGAGAGCAAGAGCCCGGAGAUGGAUUCUGAGACACGAAUCCAGGCCCUACGGGGUGCAGCAGGCGCGAAAACUUUACAAUGCUGGCAACAGCGAUAAGGGAACCUCGAGUGCCAGGUUACAAAUCUGGCUGUCGAGAUGCCUAAAAAGCAUUUCAUAGCAAGGGCCGGGCAAGACCGGUGCCAGCCGCCGCGGUAACACCGGCGGCUCGAGUGGUAACCGUUAUUAUUGAGUCUAAAGGGUCUGUAGCCGGCCUGAUAAGUCUCUUGAGAAAUCUGGCAGCUUAACUGUCAGGCUUUCAGGAGAUACUGUCUGGCUCGAGGCCGGGAGAGGUGAGAGGUACUUCAGGGGUAGGGGUGAAAUCUUGUAAUCCUUGAAGGACCACCAGUGGCGAAGGCGUCUCACCAGAACGGACCUGACGGCAAGGGACGAAAGCUAGGGGCACGAACCGGAUUAGAUACCCGGGUAGUCCUAGCCGUAAACGAUACUCGCUAGGUGUCGGCCACGGUGCGACCGUUGUCGGUGCCGUAGGGAAGCCGUGAAGCGAGCCACCUGGGAAGUACGGCCGCAAGGCUGAAACUUAAAGGAAUUGGCGGGGGAGCACCACAACGGGUGGAGCUUGCGGUUUAAUUGGAUUCAACGCCGGGA
rnacentral:rRNA from 1 species